AUUGAACGCUGGCGGCAGGCCUAACACAUGCAAGUCGAGCGGAUGAAGGGAGCUUGCUCCUGGAUUCAGCGGCGGACGGGUGAGUAAUGCCUAGGAAUCUGCCUGGUAGUGGGGGAUAACGUCCGGAAACGGGCGCUAAUACCGCAUACGUCCUGAGGGAGAAAGUGGGGGAUCUUCGGACCUCACGCUAUCAGAUGAGCCUAGGUCGGAUUAGCUAGUUGGUGGGGUAAAGGCCUACCAAGGCGACGAUCCGUAACUGGUCUGAGAGGAUGAUCAGUCACACUGGAACUGGGACACGGUCCAGGCUCCUACGGGAGGCAGCAGUGGGGAAUAUUGGACAAUGGGCGAAAGCCUGAUCCAGCCAUGCCGCGUGUGUGAAGAAGGUCUUCGGAUUGUAAAGCACUUUAAGUUGGGAGGAAGGGCAGUAAGUUAAGACCUUGCUGUUUUGACGUUACCAACAGAAGAAGCACCGGCUAACUUCGUG
rnacentral:rRNA from 1 species